GACGAACCGUGCGAACGUUAUUCGGAAUCACUGGGCUUAAAGGGUGCGUAGGCGGGUUGCCAAGUCUGUGGUGAAAUCCUCCGGCUUAACCGGAGAACUGCCGUGGAUACUGGCGACCUCGAGGGGUGUAGGGGCUUGCGGAACUGUGCGUGGAGCGGUGAAAUGCGUUGAUAUGCACAGGAACUCCGGUGGCGAAAGCGGCGAGCUGGACACCUUCUGACGCUGAGGCACGAAAGCCAGGGGAGCGAACGGA
rnacentral:rRNA from 1 species